AGAAAAAGCAACGCAGCCUCCUCUCCUCUCCUCGCUCGCCUCCUUCUCUCCCACCACGCCGCCCCUCGUCUCCUCUUCCCUCCACGCCGGCUCCCCUGGCUGCUUGCCUCUCCGACCCGGGCCAGAGCCUCGCCAGCCGCUCCCCCCAGCCGGCGCUCACUAGCUGCUCUCCCGCCGCAUCCUCCCCGAGGGUACGGAGAGAGUCGUGAUGGCAGCACACCAUCGCCCCCUCUGCUGCAAGAGAUCCAGCCACCCCGGCCCGUCCCUUCGAAACCAGCACCGCGGCUCCAUACCUCGCCGCCUCUCCUCCUUUUCCUCCUCUCUCUCCCGCGCCUCCGUCCUGCCCCCAUCCACCCGUGCUCGACCCCGACCCUGGAUCCCAUCCCACCGUAUCCGAGGCGUUUGGGCGUGGAGGCGAGCUUCUCCGACGGCAACGAUGACCACCAUCCAGGCCCCCUUGCUCACGGUGGAGAGGCUACGACCGAGGGGAUGCAGAUGAGGAGUGGGCCUCGCGGAGGAGGAUUCCGUGGCGGUGGAGCGGAGCGUGCGGUGGCACGGAAGUAGCAGUGGAGGCCGGGAGAGCGCGGCGCGGCAUCACGUGGUUGUGGUGGCCGAAGGGGCGGCGCGGCGUUGCUGCCUCUACCUCCAUCCUGACCCUUUUACUCGCGCGCAGGCUAUACUUGCAAGUGCAUUUGCUCGUAAGGACCAUUUGAAGGCCAAGGCCACAGCUUACCGCGUACUGCAGCUCGGAUUGAUCUUGGGGCUUCUCCUGGGCCUACUUCUUGGAGUUGGCCUCCAUACAGGUUUGAGAUUAUUUACAGAAGACCAUGGUGUACUGCAUCAUAUCUACAUGCCAACACCGUUCAUAGUACUUGCGAGUAUACCCCUAAAAAAUUAGUACUUGAGAGUACAACAACAACAACAACAACAAAGCCUUUAGUCCCAAACAAGUUGGGGUAGGCUAGAGGUGAAACCCAUAAGAUCUCGCAACCAACUCAUGGCUCUGGCACAUGGAUAGCAAGCUUCCACGCACCCCUGUCCAUAGCUAGCUCUUUGGUGAUACUCCAAUCCUUCAGGUCUCUCUUAACGGACUAAAAAAAUUAGUACUUGAGAGUAUGGCAAUCUUUUCUUAUGUUUGAUUACCUCAAGGCAAUCUCUUGAACUAAGCAGAGUUAUGUUUCCUAUGUACAGUUUGUUGCUCUCGCUCAACCAAUCAAUGCUUUAGCUUUUGUUUUCGACGGUGUCAAUUAUGGAGCAUCAGAUUUUGCAUAUGCUGCUUAUUCGUUGGCAAGUCCGCUAAUUUUCCAGCUUAUCUGUGCCCUGACUUUCCAGCUUUCUCUUCUGACACAUUCCAUUGAAGUAUGUAUCCUCAGAUACUUGUGGCUGUUGUCAGCAUCGCUUGCAUUGUCACCCACGCAAGUUACAGUGAUUUCAUUGGAAUCUGGAUAGCCUUGUCCAUCUACAUGUGCCUCCGCAUGUUUGUAGGAUUAUGGAGGAUUGGGACUGCUAGCGGGCCAUGAGCUUUCCUUCGCAGCUGAACAUGUAACGUGCAUUCUCGUAGAUAGUAUAAGGUAGGUAGAAUAUUUAUACUUGUAAGCAACUUUGGAGUUCAGACUAAGAUUUGGUGCGUCAGUAUAUGAAAUCUACUAUAAAUCAAAAGCCAAUAUAAAGGUAUGCUCCACCUUGAUUGUCGCUACUAUGUUCCACUCCUAUACUGACCAGGGGAAGUUCUAUAUUAUGCCAAUUUUUUCUUCAAUUUACUACUGUGUUUAGAGUGUACGUAUCGAACGAACCAAUUCCUUCAGUUAUAUCAGUACAUAUUAAAACGAAAAGGUGUAUAUGAACAUAAGCAUUCAUACGAACUAAAAUUGUUUGGCAUCCAUUCCUUUCCUGCGGGUCAUUCAUCAUCUCAUCUCACAACACUCAUGCCACAUAACCUGGCGAGCUCACACCUUACUCAGUUCUAUGUACCAGCUAUGUAGAUUUAUUCACCGAACUGAGAUGAUAUCUGUGCUCAGUUAGAUGCUGCUUGCUCUGACCAUGCUUGCUGCAAUAAUCAGUCUAUUUGAUAUGAGACCUAUCUAUUCUUUGUUGACGUUUGGUUACAAAUCCUGGAGCUAUUCUUUUUGUAUUGAGAAUAUUACCUUUUAUCACCUUAUUUGGCUGCAGUUUAUCUUUCCCAUUAGUUGUGUUAGUAAACUACACUGAGAAUGUUUGUUAACUUUUUAUGGCUUGGGAUCUUGCAGCUGCGGCGGCUCGCUGUUUGUGUGGUGAGGGUUACUUCUCCUGGUGCAGUAAUACCAUUUUGGAGUGUCCCUUGUUUGCAACUAUAUUUAUCUACAGCCUCUGCUAACAGGGCUCCGGUUCAGAGAAAAUCAAAGGGACAAACAAAGCUCGGAUGCACGUUUGUUGGUAGAUCAGUUUAAGCUGCUUUUAUUGAACCAAAAGUUAAUGUUGUUGGCCUUACCAGACUGCCAGCCCUCAAAGAGGUCGUUCAGCCUCGAAGGAGAGGGGAACUGAUGGAUGCCAGGGAAAGAAACUAGGUGAAGCUCUGAUGCUUGAUCGAGUAAGCAUCCUCUUCUUAUCACUCUACUUUGUCGGUUGUCCACUGAAAUGGUAUGAUCAAAAUAUUCCUUGAAUUUGCUCCAUGACAUCUUGCUUGCCAUGUGGUCACCUUACCUUAAAAUUGACAUAUUAAUCAAUAAACUACUGUUUAGGCAAGGGUUUAUAGUCCCAGUAAACUAUAAACCCAAAUAAUUGUUCCAAAAUUUCGAAUUUACCUUUGCACAUGUAGAAGAGCAUCAUAGAUUGUUUAGACUUGGUGUUAACAAAAAAUGAUAGUAGUAUGGUCAGACCUAUUUUCCCCACCUGCUUACUCAUUUGAGUACAUUUGAUUGCACUUUUGGGACAUUAUUACCAUUUUUACUUUUUACUUUGUUCAGACGCCGGUUCUUAUUUGGUUUAGAGGUAUGCUACUCCAAACAUAUGUUCAUUUUGGGUUUAGAUUUUGUAGAUUGAACUAAUGCGAUACGAAAAUUAUCCGUCACCCCAAAGGUUCUUCCCUGUUGGUUUCGGGAUUAGUAUUUUGAUCUCUGUUUGAAAAAGGACAAACAAGAACAGACUCACUAACACCAUUGUGUUCCUCCCUGUUGGUUUCAACAUCAGUAUUUUGACCUCUGUUUGAAAACUAUUAGAAAGGACAGAUAAUAACACACUCAUUGACACCCUCUAAUAUCUUUUUAAUUAUGAACUCAGUUAGCUGAACUUUAUCGCAUAGAUUUCUAAUGGUUUAAUAUGUAGUUAUUUUUUGUAAUUUGAGUUGACUAGCUCUAUUUAUAUAGAACAGAAAUAUUUGUCUGCUAUUCACUUAAGGUUCAUAUACUUUGUGAUUUUCAGCUAGAACGACUUCUUAAGUAUCCACAUCUAUUGGGCAGCUUGAGAAUUCAGUUUUUUUCGUAUGACACCAGACUGGGUACAACUAAUAUGGCGCCAUCUUUGCUUCAGUCUAUGUACUUCACUUUUGGCCUCUGUAGCAAGUCAAAGUAGUAGAUGUCUAAUGAUCAAAUGAUUCCUCCACUAAACGCAACGAGUGCAUGCUGGUAGUUGUUGCAUAAGGACGAAAAAUAACAUGGCCCGCUGCCGUCCUGCUGCAAAUCCCCCACCCCCCCUCGCCAUGUUUUUGUAUACACCAUGCAUGGAGCACAUAGCUGCACAUAGACUGAUUAGCAAACACUUGUUGUUGUGUGAUAAUAAAAUCACCAAUUAGUUAAUUUUGUAUUUGACUUUGCUUGUUCAAUUGUUAUCAGUGUUUUCAAAUUUGGCACCAUCUACAUCAUAAUUAAUUGGAAUCCCUUCAUGAAGGAACCAGAUGCUCCCAAAGUUCUUCUGGUUGAGUCGUUUACUUACUAGCAAUGACAUUCACAAUGGGAAGCCUUUAUAGCAGGCUACUUUGAUUGAUUCCCAAACUAUGGCUUAGUUGCAAAUGUUUUGGCGGUGAUGUUUCAUACACCAGUCCAGUGUUGCUACCCAAUGAUGAGUUGUAUAUAUGAAGCACUUUGAAAUGCUUUGAAGAAAGUCUUUUAGGUGGCGGUUCUACUGCUGCUACUCCUGUGACAGCCAAUGCGUAGGUUGCAGCUCGCAGAAUUUUAAGGAGGAAAGGAAGACAUGAUUUCUUCUUGGUGAGAUAACUAAGUGUUUAUAAGGUGGGCGGCAAGGCGUGCUAACAGCGGCUUGCAAUUAUGCCCGCUUUAGGAGCUUAGGAGCUUAGACGUCUACCUUAGGCGCUUAGGCGUCAGAGCGGUUGGUCCUCACCUUAGGUCGCCUUACUGCCUUAAAAAUCAUGGUAGUCACACACUCAUGACACAUUACCUUUGAAGCUUGUGUAUAUGAAUGUAUAGGUACACUUAGUGAUCUGCAUUGGUAAGUACUAACUGAACUGAAUAUCUUGAUCACAAGAUAUAUCUUUGUUGGCCGGCUUGGUUUAAGAACCCAUUAGCUGGUUUAUACUCCCGUCAUCCCAAAAUAAGUGUCGCCGAUUUAGUACAACUUUUUUUUUUGACGGGAGCUGAUUUAGUACAACUUUACUAAAUCAACGACACUUAUUUUGGGACAGAGGGAGUACAAUAUUUGUCCGCUUAUUUCUUUGGUUUUUUUUUUUGCUUUCAAUCGUAUGUGGCAUAGAUGUGCAGUUCAAAGGCAGGGCUGUGCCAAAGAUGUGAAUCAAAUAAUUAUGCCGAUCGGUGCAUGUUUUUGUUGCUCUUA